GGUCAGUAGGUUGGUCGUGCCACCGGUACGUACUGGUCUCACUGAUUCCUCCUUCCUGAAGAACCGUAAUGCCAUUAAUUUGGUGUUGCGGGGAAACAGGACUGUUACUUUGAAAAAAUUAGAGUGUUUAAAGCAAGCUAACGCUUGAAUACAUUAGCAUGGGAUAAUGAAAUAGGACGAUCGAUCCUAUUUUGUUGGUUUCUAGGAUUGACGUA
rnacentral:rRNA from 1 species